rnacentral:rRNA from 1 species
UACGUAGGGUGCGAGCGUUGUCCGGAAUUACUGGGCGUAAAGAGCUCGUAGGUGGUUUGUCGCGUCUGCUGUGAAAACCUAAGGCUCAACCUUGGGCUUGCAGUGGGUACGGGCAGACUAGAGUGCGGUAGGGGUGACUGGAAUUCCUGGUGUAGCGGUGGAAAUGCGCAGAUAUCAGGAGGAACACCGAGUGGCGAAGGCAGGUCUCUGGGCCGA